rnacentral:rRNA from 1 species
AUUGAACGCUGGCGGCAGGCCUAACACAUGCAAGUCGAACGAGUGGCGGACGGGAGAGUAAUGUCUGGGAAACUGCAUGAUGGAGGGGGAUAACUACUGGACACGGUAGCUAAUACCGCAUACCAUCGGAUGUGCCCAGAUGGGAUUAGCUAGUAGGUGGGGUAAAGGCUCACCUAGGCGACGAUCACUCGAUGGUCUGAGAGGAAGACCAGCGACACUGGAACUGAGACACGGUCCAGAAUCCUACGGUCGGCAGCAGUGGGGAAUAUUGCACAAUGGGCGCAAGCCUGAUGCAGCCAUGCCGCGUGUAUGAAGAAGGCCUUCGGGUUGUAAAGUACUUUCAGCGGGGAGGCGUUACCCGCAGAAGAAGCACCGGCUAACUCCGUGCCAGCAGCCGCGGUAAUUC